UAACUUUAUUAGCAUUUCAGUUCAAGCAUUAUGUUGAAUGGUGAAAUCAAAUCCACGGAUUUUACAGCCUAUGCUUCAGGAGCUUGGAAAGCAAAACCCGCAGCUUUUAAGAUUAAUUCAAUAACACCAGGCAGAAUUCCUUCAGUUAAUAAAUGAACCUAUCGAUGACUCUGAAGGGUCAUAAUUCCAAAAAGCAAAGAUAGAAAGAGUGACUUACUUGUUACAUGUGAUAAUGAGAGCUCCUUCAAAAUUAUUCAUGCAAGUGAAAGGGAUAAUCUCACCACUCUGAUAAAGAUCUCGAGAUCUUCCGAGUGCAAAUGUAGAAGAGAGAAGACUGUUCCAAGCACAAAUCCAGAUGCAGAGGCGAGAGGCUGAUGGGGAUACAAAAGGAAGAAGAAAACCAUUUCCUCCCUGCCAACAACAAAGAACAAAUACUUGAUACAGAAAAGCUC